ACGCUCGACACCUACUGGGAGGCAGCAGUGGGGGAUAUUGCACAAUGGGGGAAACCCUGAUGCAGCAACGCCGCGUGAGGGAAGAAGGUUUUCGGAUUGUAAACCUCUGUCCUUGGUGACGAUAAUGACGGUAGCCAAGGAGGAAGCUCCGGCUAACUACGUGCAGCAGCCGCGGUAAUCUGAGCGGGCUGGCAAGGC
rnacentral:rRNA from 1 species